rnacentral:rRNA from 1 species
UUUUAUGGAGAGUUUGAUCCUGGCUCAGGAUGAACGCUGGCGGCGUGCCUAAUACAUGCAAGUCGAGCGAACGGACGAGAAGCUUGCUUCUCUGAUGUUAGCGGCGGACGGGUGAGUAACACGUGGAUAACCUACCUAUAAGACUGGGAUAACUUCGGGAAACCGGAGCUAAUACCGGAUAAUAUUUUGAACCGCAUGGUUCAAAAGUGAAAGACGGUCUUGCUGUCACUUAUAGAUGGAUCCGCGCUGCAUUAGCUAGUUGGUAAGGUAACGGCUUACCAAGGCAACGAUGCAUAGCCGACCUGAGAGGGUGAUCGGCCACACUGGAACUGAGACACGGUCCAGACUCCUACGGGAGGCAGCAGUAGGGAAUCUUCCGCAAUGGGCGAAAGCCUGACGGAGCAACGCCGCGUGAGUGAUGAAGGUCUUC